UGCACAAUCAUACAUGAUCUUUUGGCCCUAUUCAUCGAUACAAAAUGAUGCCACAAUUGCAGCCAUCAAGGAAGGAUCAGCGACCUCUGCUAUACGUUCAAACUAAGAACCCUAACAUGCAUAAGAGCACAGAAGGAAGCAAAAAACAGGCAUCUUCGUGACUAGAAAACAGCGAGAACCUUGGCACACAUUAAAUUCACGACAACCAGAUGAAUACACGGUCUGGUUACCUCCUUCAGCAGCCGAUUCAGCUGCGCUCGUCCUAGGGCUUCCCAGGGCAUAUAUACCUGCACGCUAUGAUUGCUCUCUCUUUUUUCUUC
rnacentral:lncRNA from 1 species